rnacentral:rRNA from 1 species
GAGGAAUAUUGCGCAAUGGGGGCAACCCUGACGCAGCGACGCCGCGUGAGUGAGGAAGGUUUUCGGAUCGUAAAGCUCUGUCAGAAGGGAAGAAGUGUUAUAUGGUUAAUACCCA